ensembl:processed_transcript
AGGAAAGAUGUAAUCCUCAAUGUCCACCACCAUUUGAACACUUGGCCGAAGCAAGAGACUGGACCACUGAAGUUAGAUGGUUAAUCUUUAUGUCCAGCUCAUUAAGCUUCUCCAAUAUUGCCCUCUGCACAGCUCAACACACUCAAUGUGUGGUCCCCAAAGCAUCCUCUUGCUCAUUUCCAUCAGACAUGCUCACUGGAAAAGCUGGUGUUGAGAAAGGUCAAGUUGCCAAAUGAAAUGCUGAAGUAUUUACCUGAAGUGAGACAAACAACUUAUGUGGUGCUCUGUCUCGUUUGAAAUGCCUGAGCAUAGAAAACGUGUCCUCUGUUGGGUUGUACAGAAAAUGUUGAAGUAGUGUUGAGGUUUAUCCCAAGUGUCCUGUGGCUCCACUUCCUGGCAGAACCUCACAGAUAUUUCAGAUUCAGAGAUAUUGGAAGUGUACCAAGAUUGUAUCCAUUUUUGGUAAAUCUUGUCAAAAGAUGCUGAAAGAAACAAA